rnacentral:rRNA from 1 species
UACGUAGGUGGCAAGCGUUGUCCGGAUUUAUUGGGCGUAAAGGAUGCGUAGGCGGACAUUUAAGUCAGAAUGUGAAAUACCCGAGCUUGAACUUGGGUGCUGCAUUUGAAACUGGGUGUCUGAGUGCAGGAGAGGUAAGUGGAAUUCCUAGUGUAGCGGUGAAAUGCGUAGAGAUUAGGAAUGAACACCAGUGGCGAAGGCGACUUACUGGACUGUAACUGACGCUGAGGCAUGAAAGCGUGGGGAGCAAACAGG